GGGAGGCCGAGGCAGGCGGAUCACCUGAGGUCGGGAGUUCGAGACCAGCCUGACCAACAUGGAGACACUCUGUCUCUACUAAAAAUACAAAAUUAGCCGGGCGUGGUGGUGGGCGCCUGUAAUCCCACCUCGUGAGGCUGAGGCAGGAGAAUCGCUUGAACCUGGCAGGCGGAGGUUGCGGUGAGCCAGGAUCGCGCCACUGCACUCCAGCCGGGGCAAAAAGAGCAAAACUCCGUCUCAAAAAAAAAAAAAAAAAAAAAAGCAGGGGGCGGUUUCAGGGAUAAAAGUGGGGAAUCCUCGGAGCUUUUCCAGCCGGCCCUCCCGGUCGCCCUUUGCAGUGCUUGGCGCCCCUGUGCCGGCCUUCGAGGGCCGCUCCUUCCUGGCCUUCCCCACUCUCCGCGCCUACCACACGCUGCGCCUGGCACUGGAAUUCCGGGCGCUGGAGCCUCAGGGGCUGCUGCUGUACAAUGGCAACGCCCGGGGCAAGGACUUCCUGGCAUUGGCGCUGCUAGAUGGCCGCGUGCAGCUCAGGUUUGACACAGGUUCGGGGCCGGCGGUGCUGACCAGUGCCGUGCCGGUAGAGCCGGGCCAGUGGCACCGCCUGGAGCUGUCCCGGCACUGGCGCCGGGGCACCCUCUCGGUGGAUGGUGAGACCCCUGUUCUGGGCGAGAGUCCCAGUGGCACCGACGG
rnacentral:lncRNA from 10 species